rfam:TPA: Bos taurus chromosome 25, whole genome shotgun sequence.
UCCCUGGCAGUCCAGGGGCAAAGACUCUGUGCUCCCAAUGCAGGGGACACAGGUUCAAUCCCUGGUCAGGGAA